rnacentral:rRNA from 1 species
UACGUAGGGGGCAAGCGUUGUCCGGAUUUACUGGGCGUAAAGCGCGUGUAGGCUGCCCGGAAAGUCGGGCGUGAAAGCCCUGGGCUCAACCCAGGAACUGCACUCGAAACUCCCGGUCUAGAGUGGUGGAGAGGGAAGUGGAAUUCCUGGUGUAGAGGUGAAAUUCGUAGAUAUCAGGAGGAACACCAGUGGCGAAGGCGGCUUCCUGGACACCAACUGACGCUGAGACGCGAAAGCGUGGGGAGCGAACAGG